CCUGUGCGAUUUUCUGUCACAUGACCUGAUGACUUCAUGUCACAUGAUCAGGAGACUAUCUGUCAUGUGACCAUUCAAGCAUAUAAACAUAUCACUGUAAAAAGAGUACUAAAGGAGCAUGUUUCCAACACACACAGUGCAUCCAAAAACAUCCUCAUCAAUGGAGUUUGGAUCAAGGGAGUCUACAGUAUGUGGACCCUUGGAAUAUUUCUUUAUUUGGAUUACCUUUGUACACAGUUUGGAUUAUAUAUCAGCCAGGACAUAAACAACGCUGCGGGGAUCAAUUCACUGCUUGUGUGGUAGGCAGUGUGAAGAGUGGCAGCGAGGGGCGGACGGGCCUUUAAAGUCUUGACCUGUAAUAGAGUGAACCACAGAGCGUGGCGGAAGGAGACUGGCGUCCAUUUUGGGGG
ensembl:lncRNA